rnacentral:rRNA from 1 species
UACAGAGGGUGCAAGCGUUUAUUCGGAAUCACUGGGCGUAAAGAGUUCGUAGGCGGUUUGUUUAGUCGAAUGUGAAAGCCCUGGGCUCAAUCCAGGAAGUGCAUUCGAUACUGGCAAGCUAGAGUGCAGGAGAGGAGAGCGGAAUUCCAGGUGUAGAGGUGAAAUUCGUAGAUAUCUGGAGGAACAACAGAGGCGAAGGCGGCUCGCUGGACCUCUUCUGACGCUGAGGCGCGAAAGCUAGGGGAGCAAACGGG